GCCGAGUCCGCGCCGCGGGCUAACCCAAACUUCACCGGGAAACGGGCUGGAUGGUCCGCGCUGAACCGCCGUAACUACGAGGAAGGAACCAGCUCGUACAGCCGAUCUGUGACUUGGCCUUAGACUACGGACAAGACUCGGGGCAAGGCGAGGUUCGAAAGGGGCGGCUGAAGGUCCCCUUCAUGGUGGGACCGAGCCGGAGGACAACACCCCAAAAUGGCGCCGGCAAGCUGAGGGCCUGAUCGUUCUAGAAAAAAAACAACUGCGCUGACUGCGGCACUGCUACCCCUUGUGGUGGUUUGGAGAAGAAAGCAUUUUGUGCGCAUGCCCAUCCUGGCUCUGCCUACCCCUCCCUUUGGCCCGCCCCCACAGGCGGGCCCUGAACCAGGCCCCACCUCCCUCCCCAUCCAUCACUCCCCCAACCCUCCCUCGCUCCUCCUUCCUCUCUCCCUCCUCCCUCCUAAAAGGAAGGUCCAAGCCCCGUCUGACAAAGGCAUUCAAGGCGAUCAUUCCUUUUCUAGGGCCGGCUUCCAAAGGAGUCAUCAGAUGGGAAGUCCGACAAGGAAAGGAAGAGACUGCCCGCCACCCCAUUGCACUGAUCAGCAGGGCCUUUUGCCGAAGGCUCCUUGGUACCAGAUGAAAAACCAGAAUGGUCCACUGAGGUCACAAAGAGCACCCUCCCAGUAGGCGGCCUCCUCGCAUCAAUUUCUGAACAUGGAGCAUCUGCCUACACCACAAGCCACGGGGUCACACGUGCAGCUUCUCGUGAUCUGCUGUUUCCUUGUUCUGGGAGGUACAGCUUCCCUGCCCCCCCCUCUCCCCCCCCCCCCCCCCCAUCUAGAGCCAUUUUUUGUUUGGGAAGUCUGGUCCAGUAUUUGGAGCAAUUCUAGCCUUUGUCCUUAGGGGGAGGGGAGGUGAGUCACAGUCAGGCCUCUACUGCCUUGGGGGGUAGGGAGGUUUAUGGCCUGGGUCCCCAUCUGAAGCCAUCUUG